UACAGAGGGUGCGAGCGUUAAUCGGAAUUACUGGGCGUAAAGCGUGCGUAGACGGUUAUUUAAGUCGGUGUGAAAGCCCCGGGCUCACCUGGGAAUUGCAUUCGAGACUGAAUAGCUAGGGUACGGUAGAGGGAAGCGGAAUUUCCGGUGUAGCGGUGAAAUGCGUAGAUAUCGGAAGGAACAUCAGUGGCGAAAGCGGACUCC
rnacentral:rRNA from 1 species